GAGAAUGUCCGUGCGCCUCUCCCUGAGCUGCGGCGCUGCUGUGCAUCACCCGUGUCUCUGUGCUCACGCAGGCCACUGCCCCCCUGGCUCAGGACCACGACACAAGCCUCAACUCAGCCAUCGGAGGCAGCACAGGGGGAUCCGUCCAGAGACGCCAGCGCCCCGGUCCCCACAGCUUUGUUUCCGAGAGAGCAGGAGACACAGGACGCUGCCCCGCUGGCUCAGGCAGAGUCCCCAGCCCAGGGCUUGCUGUGUGAGAGGAGGCUGGGGGCUUCCACUGCCCAGCCCCACAAGGAUGCAACGGGCUGUCAAGCAGCACUGCUCCGUGCCCAGGCCCGUGUGGCAGAGUUGGAGAGCCAGGUGAGCCCCAUGGCCUGCUGGACCGGGGAGCAGGGGCCACGCCUGUUCCCAAUGGCAUCAGAGGAACGGGGCAGAUAGGA
rnacentral:lncRNA from 1 species